rnacentral:misc_RNA from 1 species
GAUGAAGAACGUAGCAAAAUGCGAUAAGUAAUGUGAAUUGCAGAAUUCAGUGAAUCAUCGAAUCUUUGAACGCACAUUGCGCCCGCUGGUAUUCCGGCGGGCAUGCCUGUUCGAGCGUCAUUUCAACCCUCAAGCCCCCGGGUUUGGUGUUGGGGAUCGGCUCUGCCCUUCUGGGCGGUGCCGCCCCCGAAAUACAUUAGCGGUCUCGCUGCAGCCUCCAUUGCGUAGUAGCUAACACCUCGCAACUGGAACGCGGCGCGGCCAUGCCGUAAAACCCCAACUUCUGAAUGUUGACCUCGGAUCAGGUAGGAAUACCCGCUGAACUUAAGCAUAUCAAUAAGCGGAGGA